AAUGUUAAAUUCUAAAAUGCAUAGAGUUUGUCUUAAUUAAUGAAGUUUAAAGGGAAUAAGGCACCAAAAGGGAGUUGGGGAGCGUUUGGGGAACAUCUGUAACGGUUCCCUUUACAAUUAGCCCUAGUUUAUUUUAUUAUUAUUAUUCUUUUUUCUUCUUAUUUCUUCUCCGGUACUUUUUUGUCCGCGAGUGUUCACGGAAACUGCUCAUUCAAUUGAGUUAAAACCUUUUUAGGGUUAAUAGGCAUGUUAUGUAGAUUUGCGGAACAAAGGUCAUUUUGCGCGCACGUGCAUGCACGUGCGUGCGCGUGCAAUGGGUAAAAUGACCAAUAUACUUGAUAUAGCUGUAAUUUUUAUAUUUUUUGGUGAAAUGCUUUGAUACUCAGAAUAUAAGGAUAUAUUAAA